rnacentral:rRNA from 1 species
ACACUUUCUUCACCCUGAACGUGUCCGAUCUCGUCUGAUCUUGGAAGCUAAGUAGGAUCGGGCCUGGUUAGUACUUGGAUGGGAGACCACCUAGGAAGACCAGGUGCGAUAAGUGUU